rnacentral:rRNA from 1 species
CCCUACGGGGUGCAGUUGGAUGGGGUAUCGCAGGGACGGCUGCCCGAUGGCCAGGGGAACAUUGUCAGUUUUCCCGGCAGCGCCAGUCCGGGCACGACCAACUUUGUGGUUGCAUCCAGUGGGCCACGGCUCAACGAAGUGAUGGCGCGCAACGAGUCGGCGGUAUUGGAUCCCUGGGGCCAGUAUUGCGACUGGGUGGAACUGUAUAAUCCGGGGCCGGGGGCAUUCGACCUGUCGGGGAUGAGUCUGAGUCUGGACCAAUUGCAGCCGGGCCAGUGGGUGUUCCCGGCCGGAACGAGCCUGGCGGCGGGGGGUUACCUGGUGCGGUGGUGUGAUGGUUCGCGCGCCGCCUCGACCAAUUGGGAGGCGCAUCUCAACACGGGGCAAUCGCUGGAUGGCAACAGCGGGAGAGC